UCUGGGACAAGCCCUGGAAACGGGGUCUAAUACCGGAUACGACACGGGACCGCAUGGUCUGCGUGUGGAAAGCUCCGGCGGUGAAGGAUGAGCCCGCGGCCUAUCAGCUUGUUGGUGGGGUAAUGGCCUACCAAGGCGACGACGGGUAGCCGGCCUGAGAGGGCGACCGGCCACACUGGGACUGAGACACGGCCCAGACUCCUACGGGAGGCAGCAGUGGGGAAUAUUGCACAAUGGGCGAAAGCCUGAUGCAGCGACGCCGCGUGAGGGAUGACGGCCUUCGGGUUGUAAACCUCUUUCAGCAGGGAAGAAGCGAGAGUGACGGUACCUGCAGAAGAAGCGCCGGCUAACUACGUGCCAGCAGCCGCGGUAAUACGUAGGGCGCAAGCGUUGUCCGGAAUUAUUGGGCGUAAAGAGCUCGUAGGCGGCUUGUCACGUCGGAUGUGAAAGCCCGGGGCUUAACCCCGGGUCUGCAUUCGAUACGGGCAGGCUAGAGUUCGGUAGGGGAGAUCGGAAUUCCUGGUGUAGCGGUGAAAUGCGCAGAUAUCAGGAGGAACACCGGUGGCGAAGGCGGAUCUCUGGGCCGAUACUGACGCUGAGGAGCGAAAGCGUGGGGAGCGAACAGGAUUAGAUACCCUGGUAGUCCACGCCGUAAACGUUGGGAACUAGGUGUGGGCGACAUUCCACGUCGUCCGUGCCGCAGCUAACGCAUUAAGUUCCCCGCCUGG
rnacentral:rRNA from 1 species